AGGACGAACGCUGGCGGCGUGCUUAACACAUGCAAGUCGAGCGGUAAGGCCUUUCGGGGUACACGAGCGGCGAACGGGUGAGUAACACGUGGGUGAUCUGCCCUGCACUUCGGGAUAAGCCUGGGAAACUGGGUCUAAUACCGGAUAUGACUUCAGGUUGCAUGACUUGGGGUGGAAAGAUUUAUCGGUGCAGGAUGGGCCCGCGGCCUAUCAGCUUGUUGGUGGGGUAAUGGCCUACCAAGGCGACGACGGGUAGCCGACCU
rnacentral:rRNA from 1 species